rnacentral:rRNA from 1 species
GGAAUAUUGGUCAAUGGGCGCGAGCCUGAACCAGCCAAGUAGCGUGCAGGAUGACGGCCCUAUGGGUUGUAAACUGCUUUUAUGCGGGGAUAAAGUGCACCACGUGUGGUGUUUUGUAGGUACCGCAUGAAUAAGGACCGGCUAAUUCCGUGCCAGCAGCCGCGGUAAUACGGAAGGUCCGGGCGUUAUCCGGAUUUAUUGGGUUUAAAGGGAGCGCAGGCCGGAGGUCAAGCGUGACGUGAAAUGUAGGGGCUCAACCUUUGAAUUGCGUCGCGAACUGGCUUUCUUGAGUGAGUACGACGUCAGCGGAAUUCGUGGUGUAGCGGUGAAAUGCUUAGAUAUCACGAAGAACUCCGAUUGCGAAGGCAGCCAACAAGGCCUUUACUGACGCUAAAGCUCGAAGGUGCGGGUAUCGAACA